GCUGCAAUGCUUUUAUUGUGAAGGUCAGAGUUUGACAGGAAGAUAUUUUAAUUGUUGAAACGGAAAUAACGAAACUGCGUUGUUUUCCGUAACCUCAGCACAAAAGCACAUGAAGGGAGUACAGUAACAAUACUUCAUAUACGCAUUUUAAUAUCAUGCUAAACUCCGAACGACAAUCAGUCGCCCGAAAGGUGGAAUUGAACCACUCUGCCGCUAAGCAGCUACAGACGGUGGUGCUAGAAGGUUCCUGGUCUCCUCCUUCAGCAGAGAGCAGCACAUACUCCCAGCACAGGCCUUUCCACAGGCGAGGCUGCAGGCCAGGGGAGGAGGCGGGGAGGGGUCCUCUCUGUGGAUAACGAGGGAGGCAUCACUGCUGCCGCCUGCAGAAAAACCAGAGCAGGAGGCAAACUCUGGCUGAACGGAAGCCCAGCGUAGCAGUGCACAUGGACAGAAGCCACCAGGAGGGACUCGGUCAGCUGCCAGAUGUGGAGGUCGUGCACAGCCUGCACUCCAGGAACACUCGCAAUCUUCCGUCCAAGAUCAGACACACAAAUCUGUGG